rnacentral:rRNA from 1 species
GUUGGGGAUGUUUGAGGCAGAUUUGUGUCCGUCCUUUUGAGGCCAGCUUGCUGGUACCCAAACGGUGUUAGCAUUUUUUGUCUUGGACAUUUGAGUAUGGCUCACGGGCAUUUAUUGGAUAGAUCUGAGUGUAAGUUACGGUCGCAUGCGACACGUGCUUUUCAAUUAGUUCGGUCCAGUUAAUGCUCUCGUACUCGUUCCCCAUGUAAAAGCCGGUCAUCUAUCCGACCCGUCUUGAAACACGGACCAAGGAGUUUAUCGUGUGCGCAAGUUUUUGGGUGUUAAAAACCUAAAAGCGAAAUGAAAGUAAAUGGCUCUUUAGAGUCUGAUGUGCGAUCUAGUAAAAAAGUGCAGCAUGGCCCCAUUCUAACUGUUUACAGUAGGGUGGAGGAAGAGCGUACGCGGUGAGACCCGAAAGAUGGUGAACUAUUCCUGAGCAGAGGACGAACCCAGAGGAAACUCUGGUGGAAGUCCGAAAGCGGUU